rnacentral:sRNA from 1 species
AUAUCAAGGGACAAAAGGUCAUGUUUUUCAUGCUUGCAUGAAAAGACAUGAAUUUGGGUCCCGUAAAACAUGAGAAAGUAGCCCGAUAGGGCGGAUUUCGAAUGUUUUUAGAAUUGCGAGAGCACAAAGUGCGUAGCAAUUCGUAGGUAUC